CAUUGAGAAGCUAAAUAUAAGCACCAGCCUUUUAAGCUGGAGACUGGUGGCUCAAAACCACCCUUAGUGA
rnacentral:tRNA from 1 species